rnacentral:rRNA from 1 species
UACGUAGGGGGCAAGCGUUGUCCGGAUUUAUUGGGCGUAAAGAGCUCGUAGGCGGUCUGUCGCGUCGGCUGUGAAAACUCGGGGCUCAACCCCGAGCCUGCAGUCGAUACGGGCAGACUAGAGUGCUGUAGGGGAGACUGGAAUUUACGGUGUAGCAGUGAAAUGCGUAGAUAUCGUAAGGAAGACCAGUGGCGAAGGCGAAUCUCUGGACAGUUCCUGACGCUGAGGCGCGAAGGCCAGGGGAGCAAACGGG